rnacentral:rRNA from 1 species
UACAGAGGUCUCAAGCGUUGUUCGGAUUCACUGGGCGUAAAGGGUGCGUAGGUGGCUUGGUAAGUUUGAUGUGAAAUCUCCGGGCUUAACCCGGAAAUGGCAUUGAAUACUAUUGAGCUGGAGGUUUGGAGGGGGGACUGGAAUUCUCGGUGUAGCAGUGAAAUGCGUAGAUAUCGAGAGGAACACCAGUGGCGAAGGCGAGUCCCUGGACAACACCUGACACUGAGGCACGAAAGCUAGGGGAGCAAACAGG